rnacentral:rRNA from 2 species
GGGUUGUGAGGUUAAGCGACUAAGCGUACACGGUGGAUGCCCUGGCAGUCAGAGGCGAUGAAGGACGUGCUAAUCUGCGAUAAGCGCCGGUAAGGUGAUAUGAACCGUUAUAACCGGCGAUUUCCGAAUGGGGAAACCCAGUGUGACUCGUCACACUAUCAUUAACUGA